rnacentral:rRNA from 1 species
GCCAUUAGGCUGAGGGCACGCCUGCCUGGGUGUCACGCAUCGUCGCCCCCCAGCAACAACCCUUUCGGUUGUCUUGGAGGCGAAAAAUGGCCUCCCGUGAGCUCUCUUACGGUUGGCCCAAAAACGAUUCCUCGGUAACGAUUAUUGCCGCGAACGAUCGGUGGUAAUACCUCGAGUGUUCCUUAUCCAUGUUCGUGCUUUGCCUAGUUGACCGGUUGGAAUCCUCAUUAACCCUGCUUUGCAUCGCUCGAACGAUGCUCGCUUCGCGACCCCAGGUCAGACGGGACUACCCGCUGAGUUUAAGCAUAUCAAUAAGCGGAGGAAAAGAAACUUACCAGGAUUCCCUUAGUAACGGCGAGCGAACCGGGAAGAGCCC